GGAAGAGGUGUGGCUAGAGACUGAAGACUGGAGAGGUUCCUGUGCUGUGGAGCGGAGAGCAGCCCACACCAAGGGUGACCUGUGGAACAGGAUGGCCGUCUCCGGGAGGGACCCGACAGGAGGUAGAAGUUUACCUUCAGAAGAACAAGUGUGAGGCCAGGCUUUUGCUUAUUGGCAAUGGAAAUGUCCUUUACUGUCUGAGCACCCAGACAGCACAUAAGGAAGCAGCCUACCUUGCAGACAUUGGUUAAAUACUAAUCUUCUGCCUUCUGUUCAUAUAUUUAAUACAACCCAAUCAGGUUUAACUGGGCCAAGGUUUUCUCCUGUCAUUGUA